AUUGAACGCUGGCGGAAUGCUUUACACAUGCAAGUCGAACGGCAGCACGGGUGCUUGCACCUGGUGGCGAGUGGCGAACGGGUGAGUAAUGUAUCGGAACGUAUCCAAUAAUGGGGGAUAACUAAUCGAAAGGUUGGCUAAUACCGCAUACGCCCUACGGGGGAAAGCAGGGGAUCUUCGGACCUUGCGUUAAUGGAGCGGCCGAUAUCUGAUUAGCUAGUUGGUGAGGUAAAGGCUCACCAAGGCGACGAUCAGUAGCUGGUCUGAGAGGACGACCAGCCACACUGGAACUGAGACACGGUCCAGACUCCUACGGGAGGCAGCAGUGGGGAAUUUUGGACAAUGGGCGCAAGCCUGAUCCAGCCAUUCCGCGUGAGUGAAGAAGGCCUUCGGGUUGUAAAGCUCUUUCGCAAGGGAAGAAAACUUACCUUCUAAUAAAGGGUGAGGCUGACGGUACCUUGAUAAGAAGCACCGGCUAACUACGUGCCAGCAGCCGCCGUAAAAC
rnacentral:rRNA from 1 species